rnacentral:rRNA from 1 species
CAGCACCUCAAGUGGUCAUGAUGAUUAUUGGGCCUAAAGCAUCCGUAGCCGGCGCUGUAAGUUUUCGGUUAAAUCUGUACGCUCAACGUACAGGCUGCCGGGAAUACUGCAGCGCUAGGGAGUGGGAGAGGUAGACGGUACUCGGUAGGAAGGGGUAAAAUCCUUUGAUCUAUUGAUGACCACCUGUGGCGAAGGCGGUCUACCAGAACACGUCCGACGGUGAGGGAUGAAAGCUGGGGGAGCAAACCGGAUUAGAGACCCGAGUAGUCC